rnacentral:tRNA from 1 species
UCGGAUAUGGUGUAACGGCUAACAUUACCGCCUUUCAUAUGCGAUGGAGCCCUAACUCUUGGCGCGGUAGCUCGGGGUUCGAUUCCCCGUAUCCGAA